CGGGAUAGCUCAGUUGGUAG
rnacentral:tRNA from 1 species